rnacentral:pre_miRNA from 1 species
CCACACUCCACUUUUCAGUUUUUGGAUACAACAUUUGACUCUUCAUCUUAUUUAAAAAUUUUCUAUGAUUAGUAUUUUUAUUGUUAUUAGAUGAUAUAAAACAUGAAUAGUACAUUUUGCAUGACUAUUUUAAAAAAUAUUCAUAAUUUUUUUAAAUAAGAUAAAAGGUCAAACGUUGGACAUAGUAUCC